UAUAAAGAUUAUAAUCUGCUUGGAAAUGCCUAAAAUGUAAGACAAACGAAUUCCUUUGCGAAUUUACGUUAAACCCAAAGAAACAUACAGAAAUACGUUCAUGGGCUGGUUUAGGCUCACUCCGUUCUUUGUGUUGCUUUUUUCUAUAAUCAGUUUUGCAUGUCAAGAAAGCAGCUGCACUGAAGCCAGGGCAGGGCCAGCCCCCUUCCUAUCUCCUCAACAAGGUGAACUCCACUUUUCUCCUAACAAUCAAAAAAUUAAUUCUCAAAAUCAUUCCCAAAUAGACUCCUAGUGAAACAACAUGCUAUACUCAAAUGUAACUUCUUAAUUUUAGAAACAGCCUUCGAAUUUUCGGAAGUCUGCCUAAUGGGUUCUUAGUUGUGUGCUGGCUCAAUCAAUUUGACACCUUGGCUUAAUCGUGUCUAUUUUCUUUGUUCCAUCUAAUUGUUCAUUUUAUAGAAGUUAGUUUGUAAAAUUGAUCAUGGGCCUAACCAAAUUGACACCUCCACUUAAUUAUGACGAUUUUAUUUAGUUCAUUUGAGGGUCGUGUUCGUUUUAUAGUAAUCAGUUUAAUUUGUAAAAUUGAUUAGUAGAAGACUCGAAGGUUUUUUCCACUCUUGGGGUGGUUUGCCGGUGUUGUGAUGGUGGAGGAAGCUCCAAUGGUGGUGGAGAAUGUACAAAUUCAUGGGUCGGGUCUUGCUCCAAUCUCCACUGUCUUCCAUGGAAAUUACACUAGCAAAAUUGUUGCUUUAAGGUCUCUUUUUGUACAGUUAUAGACUACAAAUAUAUCAUUUCCAACGGUUGCAAAGUCUGUAUAAUUUUUUGUAUUACUUGAUGAACGUAUUAACUGCUGGAAUGUGGAAGUGAAAUUAUUUAGAAAUUAAAAAUUUCGUUAAUUCAAUAAACAAGAUCAUUUAGAUGUUUA